GCAUUGAGAUUGAGACACGUACAAACCUUAUCGAUAAACAAUUGGAGGGCAAGUCUGGUGCCAGCAGCCGCGCUAAUUCCAGCUCCAAUAGCGUAUAUUAACGUUGUUGCAGUUAAAAAGCUCGUAGUUGAAAUGAAGGGUAGUUGUGUAAUGAAUACAUUCGUGUAUUUUGUUAUUCAACUACCCUCCUUCUAAAUUCGAUAUAUGAGUAUUAAUUUACUUGUAUAUGGUUUUAGACGUUUACUGUGAGAAAAUUAGAGUGUUCAAAGCAGGCAUUUGCUUGAAUAUAUUAGCAUGGAAUAAUCAUGUAUGAUUUUCAUGAUGUAUUUGAUUGGUUUGGUUCAUGAGAAUAAGAUUAAAAGGGACAGUUGGGGGUAUUCAUAUUCAAUAGUCAGAGGUGAAAUUCUCGGAUUUAUGGAAGAUGAACAAGUGCGAAACGAUUUACCAAGGAUGUUUUCAUUAAUCAAGAACGAAAGUUAGGGGAUCGAAGAGGAUUAGAUACCCUCGUAGUCUUAAGUAUA
rnacentral:rRNA from 1 species